CUGCAAAGUCGCUUUCGCUCCAUCAGGGCGUAACAAAAUAUGCCUGCAGGUCCUGUAUGGAGGCUGGUCUCCAGUCCGUGACAAUUGCAUCAGAAGUGCUGUAAAGAAUCCUGCCUCAGUGAAUCCAGACUGAUGGUCCAAUGAGUCUUGUUUCUCGGAGCUCCUUGAGGGCAGGGACUAUUCUCCAUUAUAGUCCAGCGCCUGCCACGUACUAAGUGCUCAGAAAAUACUUACCCCAUGACUGAAGGAUCUCUUCCUGACACUGGAGAACCAAGAUUAAAGCCACCUCCCUGGGCUGAGGGUCCUUAACAUGUGUGGCCUGGAGCUUUGAUCUGUAGGACCAAUCCUGACCUCAUAGAGAGGCAUUUGACCAUGUAAAUCAACAUUCUAGGACUGCCUCCAAUUCACUCUUGCUUCUAGACUGGAGGAGCCUGUGAGCUGGUUCUGAUGCCUGGUUCGAUGUGAUCGCUAAUGUGCUUAGGUCUGUCUAGUACCCUCUCUAUUCAAAUCUCAAAGUUUACUUUCUUCCCACCAGUACCGUCUACUCCAAAAAGCCAGUCUAUCCAAGAGCCAUGGCCUGGAGAUUGGUGGCCUGCAUACAGCUAACUGUUACACAAUGCUAACUCCCUGAUUUCUGAGUAUUAUAGGUAGGGCUUCACCUGUCUCGCAGGACACCCCGAGACAUCAUGUUAGUCACUGGGUACUCACUGUGACUUUGUAUAUCAUCUGAGUCAUUGUUCUGCCUUCCUGUGAGGCAGGAAAAUAGGGUCUGGAGGCAGGGAACAUAAGGCUGAUUCACACUUCGGCUAUAACAGAAAACAUCCUCUCCAUAGAGCGUAUGCUGUAAAUGACUGUAACUUUACUUCAUCCUCUCCAUUUACAUAGGGUGUACCCAAAGUUACCAAUGGAAUUUUGUAGGGAGUAUUUAAACUCCCAAAAAUUCUGUAACAGGGCCUUUUGAACCCUAUGCUCAGGCCCACUC
rnacentral:lncRNA from 1 species